UGAAUUUUUUUUUUCUUGAACUAAAAGCGAAAGAAACGCCUAUUUUCUCAAGUGGUUUCUGUAACCGGACUGAAACCGGAACAACGCAGCCCCUUUCUCUCGGUGAGGGCUGUUAGCUGGUAAUCCGCCCAUACUACAUACUUGGAAACCAAGGCAGGCCUUCGAAGAGGUGGCACCCCAGACAGGGCCAUCCCUGAAAAAGAGCUUGGAGUAGAUUUCUCUGAAGAGGAUUUGACUAUUUCAACAGUGUACUUUCUGUUGGUGAAUGUGAGUUUGAGGUAUGGUACUGUGAACCAGGCUGCCACCACUUCAAGACCGAAACUAUUGCCAUGCUGGGGAUGGGUAGAGUAAAG